rnacentral:rRNA from 1 species
CCCUUAGAUGUCCUGGGCCGCACGCGCGCUACACUGAACGGAUCAGCGCGUUUUCCCUUCCCGAGAGGGACGGGUAACCUGCUGAACCCCGUUUGUGGUAGGGAUCGGGGCUUGCAAUUAUUCCCCGUGAACCAGGAAUGCCCAGUAAGUGCAAGUCAUAAGCUUGCGUUGAUUACGUCCCUGCCCUUUGUACACACCGCCCGUCGCUACUACCGAUUGAACGUUUUAGUGAGGUACUCGGACUGAGCCUCAGAAGAUUCACGUCUUUUGUGCUGCUCGGGAAGAUUCCCAAACUUGAGCGUUUAGAGGAAGUAAAAGUCGUAACA